CCUCGAACUUUCUUUUUAAAUAAAGUUUGGUUUUGUUGCAAUUUUUUUGCCAUUUUGUUUGAAUAUGGAUUUUGAUAAAUGUCUUUUGGCGUAAUGAGUUUUGAAGAUAGAGGAUUUGCGAAUUUUAGUAAAAAACUCGAUUUUUAUCCAACUUUAGCGAGUUAUAGCUUGACUUUUGCUAUUGCUCCUUGUCGCGUAUUAUUUAAUUAUUUGUUAAUUUGUUUAAUUAUUUAAUUAUUUGAUUAGGUGAAAAAGCUUUAAGAAAUUGGCAAGUCGAAGAAUUCGGAGGACUUGGUACGUAGCUAGGGUUUAUAAUUUUCAUCAUAUCUGUAUCUUUCAAUCAAACAUUCCCUUAAUUGAAAAGGCCAGCAAAUCUUAUAGCAGUGUAAAUGUGCUUUGAUUUGGAAAGUCAUCUUCUAGCUUCGGUCCAUACAUUUGAUUCUUUAUUCAAGAAAACUAGUGUAAAUGUGUUUUGAUUUUCGGUCCAUACUUGUCAGCUCUUUCAUGAACCCUUCAGUCCCCAGUUUCUACACCAUUGCCGGGAAGUAGUCCUCGAAAACCACCGUGUUCCUCUUCGAUCCCAUUGACCACCACAAUAACUCUAUCAAGUAAUGAGAAGUGAGAACAAUGACCUGAGGAAGCUAAUGAAAACUUGGAUGAAGUAGUGGCUGUUGCUAAAGAUCUUCAAACUGAGUUCAGGAGGUUUACACUUGGUCAUUUGGCUUAGUUAAAAAUUCUUGUUGCCUGAGGCAAUUGUGGCUAAGAAGGUGUUAGUGUUUGAUGAAAAGACAAGUUGUAUGAAGCCAGAUCUGCAUGUCACUAUUAACUAUGACGCGGUGGAGUAUGAAUCAGAGUUGCCAACCGAAGGCGGCUGGGCAUGCUGUUGAGGAAGUUGUUCCGUGCGCGGCUGAGAGAUUUUGUUGAAUCCCAUCCUGGGGUAUGCAAGUUUCUCCAACUACAGUGUUCAGUUGAUAAAAUUUAUUUUGAACAUUAACUUGUUGAAUCACAUUGCUUUCUGCUGGUUGCAGCAUUGAUUGCCUUUUCAAGUUCAGAAUUGCAUCAGUUACUUUUCCAAUUUUAUUUUCCCUCUUUACUUGUAAGGAACUAAGAAUCGUCCAAUGGAAUUCUAAUGAUCAAUGUUGAAAAUAUGAGA